UUUUUCCACCUUAUGGAUAAAUAUAAAACUAUAUUAUAGUUUGACAGACCUAAUUAUUUUGUAGGUGCUUUAGAAGUAGAAGAACUAGGAUUGGUGGUUGGUCAGUUAAAAUGGAAAGUCACAAAGUCUAGAUACUUUGAUUGCUUGUAUUAGAUGUAUGCUUAUUUUCCAUACAAUCUUUUAAUGAAGGACUACACCAUUUCUUUGAGAUGUCUGCUGCCUAGAUUCUAUUACAUAUGCAUCAUAUAUAGUUUUCAGUUUUGUCUUAAAGAAAUCUGAAUAGAGAAUUCCCUUGAACUUUCACAGAUACCUUCCCUCAGUUUUCCAGCUUUCUUCAUACCCCUAAUUUGACCACAGUUUUUACAGUAAAAAUUGUAGAAAUCAAGUAAUAUUGACAACCACCUACUAGCUAAUAGUCAUCAGUCAACUUAUAUUACCUUGGAAGUGGUUAAAUAGAGUUUGGUUAAGAGCCACAAAUUUACUUCAUAUUGUAAUGUAAUUAUUUUUUUAAAAACUUCCCUCAACAGAAAGGAAUAAUGUGCUACAGGAAAAGGAAAACUUACCUGAGGUAGAGAGUUUAAGCAAGAGGUGAAUCUGGUGUAAUCAGGCAAGGAGUCAAGUAUUAACUCUGUAUGUGUCAGGUGCUGGGAAUAUAGAGGACAGUUUCUUAACACAGUCUGGGGUGUAGGUGGAGAUACAUGGGGUGGCUUUGAGGCCUUUCAGGUUUUCAUCACUGAUAGAUACCUAGCCCUUAUUUCAUGGAUGCCUCAAACCCCAUUUUCCAGUCUAAGCUUUCGCCCCUAAUCUAUUUGCCUGUACUGCAUAACCUUCUAAAUAUGAUUAAAAUCUUCCAGAAGUUUUUAGUCAGCCCUGAUCUGGCCUUCUCACCAUUUCUUCACAUACUAGCUAAUAUUUAAUAAGUAGAAUUAUGUGUAAAUUUGGGUCUUCCUGGUAUAUGAGCAAAAAAAGCAAUAGUUUCCUUAUCUGAGCUGAAAAAGACACUAAUGUUCAGUGGAGAACAGAGGAAGAGAAUUCCAAUAAGCAGAGCCUGUGGUUCCAGGUGAAUAAGUCUUAAGUUCAAGGAUGGUGUAGAGGGACAGAGAUGCAUUCUGGCCCUCCAGGGUUAGAUUUGUCAAGAGGCGAAAUAGUUAAUUUCAGACAGUUCUCUGGAACUGAUGUAAUCUGGUUUACUUAGGGCAGUGGUUUUCAGAUUGGAAGUACACACUAUUAAACAGAAGCAAUUCCACUUUAAAAUUUUGCUUGGCUAAAGGAUUCAGUGGCUAUUUUUUUUUUUUUUUUAAUUACCAAUGUGAAUAAGGUUUAUUGGUUCCGGGGAGGAGACACCCUCUCUAGUAUGAGAAGCUGCAAAGAAGGUUGUACUUGGAGUAAAAACCACACUCUUCACAGAAGCUGAUCGUGAUACCCAUUGAGGAGACUGAUUGGGCCUCAGCUUUCUAUAACCUGGGAAUAUAAAUGGGUGUUAUAAAGUUUCGUGUUACAUGACUCAGUUAUCAGAAUUGUAUCUCCAGCUUAGAACCUUACAGGGAAAAACUGGAAAUUACACAUAAAUAUCACCCACUUGCCCCCUCCACCCCCCAACUUUAUAAGGUAGGUAAUAUUAUUUACACAUGCAGAGAAUGAGGUGUGGUAACCUGCCCAAUGAUACACAGUAAGCAGAGGAGGCAGGGUUUUUUGGUCCAGACAGUCUAAUUCUUAAGUGUAAGCUCUUUACUAAGCUGCACUGUUGUGAAAGCACUGUACUUGAAGUUACAGGCAUACCUUGUUUUACUGCACUUUGCAGAUAUUGCAAGAUUUUUUCUUCAAAAUAACGAAGGUUUGUGGCAACCCCAUGUUGAGCAAGUUCAUUAGUGCUAUUUUCUAACAGUGUGUGCUCAUUUCCUGUCUGUGUCACAUUUGAUAACUCUUAAAAUUAUUUCAGGCUUAAAUUAUCAUGUUAUGGUGAUCCGGGAUCUUGAAUGUUACUAGUGUAAUUUGGAGCCUCAUGAACCACACCCAUACGAUGGUGAACAUAAAUGCACGUGUUCUGAUUGCUCCACAAACAGGCUGUUCCCUCUCUCCGUCUCCUUAGGCCUCUGUAUUCCCGGAGACACAACAUUGAAAUUAGGCCAAUUAAUAGCCCUACAGUGGCCUCUAAGUGUUCAAGUAAAAGGAAGAGUCGCACGUCUCAGUUUAAAUCAAAAGCUGAAAAUGAUUAAGCUUAAUGAGGAAGGCAUGGCAAAAUCUGAGAUGGGCCAGAAAGAUAGGCUUCUUGGGCCCAUUAGACAAGUUGUGAAUGCAAAAGAUAAAUCUUGAAGGAAAUUAAAAGUGCUACUCCAGUGACUACACAAUGAUAAGAAAACAAAAGAACCCUAUUUCUGAUAUAAAGUUUUAGUGGUCUGGAUAAAAGAUUGAAACAGGCCCAACAUUCUCUUAAGCCAAAACCGUAUCCAGAGCAAAGCCGUAACUCCAAUUCCGUGAAGUCAGAGAGGUGAAGAAGUUGUGGAAGAAAAGUUUGAAGCUAGCAGAGGCUGGUUCAUGAGAUUUAAGGAAAACACCCAUCUCCAUAACAUUAAAGUGCAAAGUGAAGCAGCAAGAGUUGAUGUACGAACUGCAGCAAGUUGUCUGGAAGAUCUAGCUGAGAUAAUUGAUGAAGGGGCUAUGCUAAAUAGCAAGUAUUUAAGGUAGACAAAAUAGCCUUCUAUUGGAAGCAGAUGCCAUCUAGGCCUUUCAUAGGCUAGAGAGAAGUCAAUGCCUGGCUUCAAAGCUUCAAAAAAGACUGACUUGUGAGGGGUUUAUGCAGCUGGUGACUUUAAGCUGAAGCCAAUACUCAUUUACCAUUUCGAAAAUCCUAGGGCCCUUAAAAAUUAAGCUAAAUCUACUCUGCCUGUGCUCUAGAAAUAGAACAGCAAAGCAUGGAUGACAGCACAUCUCUAUAGCAUAACGCAUCUAAUAUUUUAAACCCACUGUUGAGACCUAUUGCUCAGGGACGGAAAAAACCUAAAGCUUUCAAAAUAUGAUAAGCUCAUUGACAAUGCACCUAGUCACUCAAGAGUUGUGAUGGAGAUGUACAAGAAGAUUGAUGUUUUCAUGCCUGCUAACAUGACAUCCAUUCUACAACCUAUGGAUCAAAGAGUAAUUUUGACUUUCAAGUCUUAUUUAAGAAAUAUUAGGCCAGACGCGGUAGAUCACGCUUGUAAUCCCAGCACUUUG
rnacentral:lncRNA from 10 species